rnacentral:pre_miRNA from 1 species
UUAGGUUUUCUUCAAUUUCUUCUGGAAUUUUUCUCAGAUUUUUGUUGUUGAAGGUUGAUGGAGAUGAUACGAAGAUGAAGAAAAUGAAGAA